GAUGAAGAACGUAGCGAAAUGCGAUACUUGGUGUGAAUUGCAGAAUCCCGUGAACCAUCGAGUCUUUGAACGCAAGUUGCGCCCGAAGCCACUAGGCCGAGGGCACGCCUGCCUGGGCGUCACACGCCGUUGCCCCCCCAUCUACUCCUUCGGGAUUGCGGGGGGGCGGAUGAUGGCCUCCUGUGCGCCUAGCCGCGCGGUUGGCAUAAAUACCAAGUCCUCGGCGACGCACGCCACGACAAUCGGUGGUUGCGAAACCUCGGUUGCCCGUCGUGUGCGUUCGUCGCGCAUCGAGGGCUCGAAAAAAUGCUCGGCUCCGGCUGGGCUUUCAACGCGACCCCAGGUCAGGCGGGGUUACCCGCUGAAUUUAAGCAUAUGAAUAAGCGGAGGA
rnacentral:misc_RNA from 1 species